GCGAAUAAAGUUCACAGUUAUGCGUAACUUGCUUAUUUCUUGGCAAUAGAGUUUGCACUGGACCAAUUUAAGUAUGCGUUAGUUAAUGAAACUUGAUAGAUUAUCUACACUUAAAUGCCAUGUUUAGUCAGAUCGAGAAGUUUAAUGUUAUGUUUAAACAUGUAGAUGUCUUGUCCUUUUUUAGGUUGGUUUCUUGUAUUUCAGGAUUGGUGUGAAUAGAAAAGCUCUUUCUGGUCCGUCCUGCCAAUCAAAAUUUAUGUAAACUGAGCAUUGUUGUGGCUGUCAUACUGUGAUGUGGUUCCCUUGCAUGAAUUGUGCCUUGAAAGGUCGCUGAGCUGAGAUCAUGAUCUUGUAAUGAAUUGACCUUUGAAUUGCUAACUUCAAUUAGUUUU
rnacentral:misc_RNA from 1 species